AUUGAACGCUGGCGGCAGGCCUAACACAUGCAAGUCGAGCGGAUGAAGGGAGCUUGCUCCUGGAUUCAGCGGCGGACGGGUGAGUAAUGCCUAGGAAUCUGCCUGGUAGUGGGGGAUAACGUCCGGAAACGGGCGCUAAUACCGCAUACGUCCUGAGGGAGAAAGUGGGGGAUCUUCGGACAUCACGCUAUCAGAUGAGCCUAGGUCGGAUUAGCUAGUUGGUGGGGUAAAGGCCUACCAAGGCGACGAUCCGUAACUGGUCUGAGAGGAUGAUCAGUCACACUGGAACUGAGACACGGUCCAGACUCCUACGGGAGGCAGCAGUGGGGAAUAUUGGACAAUGGGCGAAAGCCUGAUCCAGCCAUGCCGCGUGUGUGAAGAAGGUCUUCGGAUCGUAAAGCUCUGUAAGUUGGGAGGAAGGGCAGUAAGUUAAUACCUUGCUGUUUUGACGUUACCAACAGAAUAAGCACCGGCUAACUUCGUG
rnacentral:rRNA from 1 species